GAAGAAGAAACCCACAGGGAUUACCUCAGUAACGGCGAGUGAAGCGGUAACAGCUCAAAUUUGAAAUCUGGCCUCACGGUCCGAGUUGUAAUUUGUAGAGGAUGCUUCGAGCAUGGUCUGGCCUAAGUUCCUUGGAACAGGACGUCAUAGAGGGUGAGAAUCCCGUAUGCGGCCAGGUGCCUACGCUCAUGUGAAGCUCCUUCGACGAGUCGAGUUGUUUGGGAAUGCAGCUCAAAAUGGGUGGUAAAUUUCAUCUAAAGCUAAAUAUUGGCCAGAGACCGAUAGCGCACAAGUAGAGUGAUCGAAAGAUGAAAAGCACUUUGGAAAGAGAGUUAAACAGUACGUGAAAUUGUUGAAAGGGAAGCGCUUGCAACCAGACUUGCGCGCGGCUGAUCAUCCGGUGUUCUCACCGGUGCACUCGGCCGUGCUCAGGCCAGCAUCGGUUUUGGCGGCUGGAUAAAGGCCCUAGGAAUGUGGCUCCUCUCGGGGAGUGUUAUAGCCUAGGGUGCAAUGCAGCCUGCUGGGACCGAGGACCGCGCUUCGGCUAGGAUGCUGGCGUAAUGGUUGUAAGCGGCCCGUCUUGAAACACGGACCAAGGAGUCUAACAUCUAUGCGAGUGUUUGGGUGUCAAACCCAUACGCGUAAUGAAAGUGAACGGAGGUGAGAACCCUUAAGGGUGCAUCAUCGACCGAUCCUGAUGUCUUCGGAAGGAUUUGAGUAAGAGCAUAGCUGUUGGGACCCGAAAGAUGGUGAACUAUGCCUGAAUAGGGUGAAGCCAGAGGAAACUCUGGUGGAGGCUCGCAGCGGUUCUGACGUGCAAAUCGAUCGUCAAAUUUGGG
rnacentral:rRNA from 1 species